CUACGGGGUGCUGCAGUGAGGAAUAUUGGACAAUGGGGGAAACCCUGAUCCAGCAAUGCCGCGUGAAUGAAGAAGGCCUUCGGGUUGUAAAGUUCUUUCAUUUGUGAAGAUGAUGACGGUAACAAAAGAAGAAGCCCCGGCUAACUCUGUGCCAGCAGCCGCGGUAAGACAGAGGGGGCUAGCGUUGUUCGGAAUGACUGGGCGUAAAGGGUGCGUAGGCGGCCGUUUAAGUAAAGUGUAAAAGCCCCAGGCUUAACCUGGGAAUCGCAUUUUAUACUGGAUGGCUAGAGUGCGAAAGAGGAAAGUGGAAUUCCUAGUGUAGAGGUGAAAUUCGUAGAUAUUAGGAGGAACACCAGAGGUGAAGGCGGCUUUCUGGGUCGUAACUGACGCUGAGGCACUAAAGCGUGGGUAGCAAAUAGGAUUAGAUACCCUGGUAGUC
rnacentral:rRNA from 1 species